rnacentral:rRNA from 1 species
CUACGGGGUGCUGCAGUGAGGAAUAUUGCACAAUGGGGGGAACCCUGAUGCAGCAACGCCGCGUGGAGGAUGACGCAUUUCGGUGUGUAAACUCCUUUUAUAUGUCAAGAAAAUGACGGUAGCAUAUGAAUAAGCACCGGCUAACUCCGUGCCAGCAGCCGCGGUAAUACGGAGGGUGCAAGCGUUACUCGGAAUCACUGGGCGUAAAGGACGCGUAGGCAGGUUGGAAAGUCAGGUGUGAAAUCCUACAGCUUAACUGUAGAACUGCACUUGAAACUUCUAAUCUAGAGUAUGGGAGGGGGAGAUGGAAUUAGUGGUGUAGGGGUAAUAUCCGUAGAUAUCACUAGGAAUACCUAAAGCGAAGGCGAUCUCCUGGAACAUUACUGACGCUAAGGCGUGAAAGCGUGGGGAGCAAACAGGAUUAGAUACCCGUGUAGUC